rnacentral:lncRNA from 1 species
GGGCAAUGGAGAAGAUUUAUAACACCUGCAAUUUUGCAGACUUGAAAAAAAUAUAUUUAAAUUUUUAAUUAAGCAUAAAAUUAAAUGAAUUAAAGUUUUAAGGGCUUAAAUGAAGAAAAAAUAAAAUUUUGGUGGCAUUUUAUGAAUAAUAAGGAUCUAAAUGAUAAUAAAUACCAAAAAUAGGGUCAAAUAUAAUUUCAAAAAUACGGGACACCUUAGCAGGUGAGGUGUAAGGAUGGGUCGAGCCAUUUGGCUAUGUCACACGUUGUGAGAUAUGAAAAUGUACGGUUCAGAUUUAUCUUGCAGAUCUAACAGCUCCCAAAUAUCCAUACUUUGAGAGGAAAGAAGAACCCUAGCCGUCAAGAAAGUCUAGGCAGCAUCGGGGUUGAGAGAACGAAGUGAGGGGAGGAGCCUUAGCCGCAUGAGGAGGAGGAGUGAACGAUAGUCGUGAAGGUGGGACGCGACGGAAGGGGAGACGUCACAGGAAGAAGAAAGAAAAAGAGAAGGGGAGAUCGUCGGGCAGAAAGAAGAAGAAAAAGAAAGGAAAAUAAAGAAGAAGAAAAAGAAGAAAGGAAAAAAAAUGGGAAGAGAAGAAGAAAUAGAAUAAGAGAGAGAAGAAUCAUGUUGGGUAGAGAGAGAGAGAAGAAGAAGAAGAAGAAAGGAAAAAAAGGGAAGAAAAGAAAGAGAAUAAGAGAGAAAAAUCAUGUCGGGUAGAUAGAGAGAGAGAGAGAGAAGAAUAAGAAGAAAGAAAAAAAAAAGAAAAAAAAAGAAAAAAAAAGAAAAAAAGAAGAAAAAAAAAGAAUAAAAAAAGAAUAAAAGAAAAGAAAAAAAAGGAGAAAAAAGAAGAAGAAAAAAAAUUAAGGAAGAAAAAUUGAAGGGUGACAACCAAAUAUGAUGUUUUUGUGCCACAUGUGACAACACACGCUAAUUCGAUCAUCAGCGCCUGACAUUUUCGGUGACAUGUGUAUGAUGGUACAUGGUGAUGCUGGCGACCGAGAUCGUGUGAGCGGGUCACCUAGCAAACGUAACUGCUAUAGGCAGUGUGAGAUUGUGUGGCCUAUCCAUGCAAUGGAGGGAUCCUUUUCGCCUCUCAUCGAUGACUAUAAUAUCCAUCUAAAAGAAAAAAGAAUAUACAAAUAAAUAAAAUUGGGAGUUUGGAUGUAAAUGAAAGGAAUUUUUCAAAAAUUGGGGCUUUUAAGUAAAUUCAAGGACUUAAAUGAAAAUAGGUAAGAAAAAAGGGGGUAAAAACAUAAAUAAUGAGAAGUAGAAAUAGACAAAGGAAAUUAGGAGAACGAACGGCCCAGAUCGGACAGCUUGAAGAGAUUUGAUGGAGGAGAUUUUAAAAGAGAAUAGAUGGCCCAGAUCAAGCUGGUGAGAUCAAACAGCCAAGGAGAUAGAUAUAUAAGGAAAGAGAUUAGGG